ACUUUGAUUAUGGCUCGGGAUGAACGCUAGCGGCAGGCUUAACACAUGCAAGUCGAGGGGUAACAUUGGUGCUUGCAUCAGAUGACGACCGGCGCACGGGUGAGUAACGCGUAUGUAACCUACCUAUCACAGGGGGAUAGCCCGGAGAAAUUCGGAUUAAUACCGCAUAGUUUUGAGAUAUUGCAUGAUAUUUCAAAUAAAACUUUGGUGGUGAUAGAUGGACAUGCGUAUGAUUAGUUAGUUGGUGAGGUAACGGCUCACCAAGGCGACGAUCAUUAGGGGUUCUGAGAGGAAGGUCCCCCACACUGGUACUGAGACACGGACCAGACUCCUACGGGAGGCAGCAGUGAGGAAUAUUGGUCAAUGGACGAAAGUCUGAACCAGCCAUGCCGCGUGCAGGAUGACUGCCCUAUGGGUUGUAAACUGCUUUUCUGAAGGAAGAAAUGUACCUACGUGUAGGUAUUUGCCGGUACUUCAGGAAUAAGGAUCGGCUAACUCCGUGCCAGCAGCCGCGGUA
rnacentral:rRNA from 1 species